rnacentral:rRNA from 1 species
UACGUAGGGAGCGAGCGUUGUCCGGAAUUACUGGGCGUAAAGGGCGCGUAGGUGGGCGUUUAAGUCAGAUGUGAAAACUCCGGGCUCAACCGUAGUAAGCCUUUGAAACUGGGAAACUUGAGUGCAGGAGAGGAGAGUGGAAUUCCUAGUGUAGCGGUGAAAUGCGUAGAUAUUAGGAGGAACACCAGUUGCGAAGGCGGCUCUCUGGACUGUAACUGACACUGAGGCACGAAAGCGUGGGGAGCAAACAGGAUUAGAUACCCGGGUAGUCCCUGAGCGGG